rnacentral:miRNA from 11 species
UAAGUAAGAAAUUUGUUUUGCAUUGGUUAUGUAUUCUCCUUGUAGGUAGGAGAGUUUAGAAAGUUGCAGCUUUUCUUCUGCUUCUUGCUCAA